UACGUAGGUGGCAAGCGUUGUCCGGAUUUAUUGGGUUUAAAGGGUGCGUAGGCGGUCUAUUAAGUCAGUGGUGAAAUACUCCAGCUUAACUGGAGGGGUGCCAUUGAUACUGAUGGACUUGAGUGAAGUCGAGGUAGGCGGAAUUGACGGUGUAGCGGUGAAAUGCUUAGAUAUCGUCAAGAACACCAAUAGUGAAGACAGCUUACUAGGCUUAUACUGACGCUGAGGCACGAAAGUGUGGGGAGCAAACAGG
rnacentral:rRNA from 1 species